GAUGAACGCUAGCGGGAGGCCUAACACAUGCAAGCCGAGCGGUAGAGAUUCUUCGGAAUCUUGAGAGCGGCGUACGGGUGCGGAACACGUGUGCAACCUGCCUUUAUCAGGGGGAUAGCCUUUCGAAAGGAAGAUUAAUACCCCAUAAUAUAUUUGAUGGCAUCAUUAGAUAUUGAAAGCUUUGGCGGAUAGAGAUGGGCACGCGCAAGAUUAGAUAGUUGGUGAGGUAACGGCUCACCAAGUCGAUGAUCUUUAGGGGGCCUGAGAGGGUGAUCCCCCACACUGGUACUGCGACACGGACCAGACUCCUACGGGAGGCAGCAGUGAGGAAUAUUGGACAAUGGGUUAGCGCCUGAUCCAGCCAUCCCGCGUGAAGGACGACGGCCCUAUGGGUUGUAAACUUCUUUUGUACAGGGAUAAACCUACUCUCGUGAGAGUAGCUGAAGGUACUGUACGAAUAAGCACCGGCUAACUCCGUG
rnacentral:rRNA from 1 species